CAGAAAUCCAAUAUAAUGUAUAGAUUAGAAUAAUAAUAAAACUGAAUCAAAACAAUGCGAAAUAUAGAAGGACUCAUCGCGCAAAUGGACCAUUGAAGCAAAACGCGCGAAUCCUUCCCUCAGACCGGUUCACCGCGCGGGUCGGAGUCGAUUUUAAGGCUGCUGAAACAUGCUUAAAACGGAGUCGUUUCCUUCUCGUAGACCCAAAAUAAACCCUAAAACUAGCAGCCUAUCAUUUUCUAAGGAAAGAAAAUAAAGAAAAAAACUAAAGAACCUUAAAGGUUCUCUGCGCCGCUCGACGAAACCUCUCCUCAAACCCCCCAACCUCCACUCAACUCCGAUGACGAUGGAGGGAGAGGAUUUACUAGCUGUACGGGCGUACGAGGGCUAGCUGGGACGUGGCGCGGCUCGUGUGAGGCAUCCCGCGUGGUGGGCACGCGAGGGGGAGGGUUCUUGUCGCUGCGGCGCUGGAGGCCUACUGCAGGUUGCUAGGGUUUCUGGCUCUCUUUAGGCGAACCGGACUAGGGUAUUGGGCUUAGGGUUUUUGGUUAUUGGGCUGGGGUGUAUUGGGUAAUUCGAGUUUUUGGUUAUUGGGUUGGGGUGUAUUGGGUAAUUCGGGUUAGAAUUUGGGUUUGUAAAUGGACUGUUUUUGGACUAUUUUUAUUUAUUUGACUUUUUAUUUUUA